rnacentral:rRNA from 1 species
UCUAGGGGUCUGAGAGGAUGUCCCCCCACACUGGUACUGAGACACGGACCAGACUCUUACGGGAGGCAGCAGUAGGGAAUAUUGGGCAAUGGACGCAAGUCUGACCCAGCCAUGCCGCGUGCAGGAUGACUGCCCUAUGGGUUGUAAACUGCUUUUGUAUGGGAAGAAACCCUCCGACGUGUCGGAGGCUGACGGUACCAUAAGAAUAAGGAUCGGCUAACUCCGUGCCAGCAGCCGCGGUAAUACGGAGGAUCCAAACGUUGUCCGGAUUUAUUGGGUUUAAAGGGUGCGUAGGCGGACUUUUAAGUCAGUGGUGAAAGCCGGCAGCUCAACUGUCGAGUUGCCAUUGAAACUGAUUGUCUUGAGUGUAGUUGAGGUAGCUGGAAUGCGUCAUGUAGCGGUGAAAUGCUUAGAUAUGAUGCAGAACACCAAUUGCGAAGGCAGGUUACUAAACUAUUACUGACGCUGAGGCACGAAAGCGUGGGGAUCAAACAGGAUUAGAUACCCUGGUAGUCCACGCCGUAAACGUUGAUUACUCGUUGUUGGCGAUACACAGUCAGUGACUAAGCGAAAGCGUUAAGUAAUCCACC